rnacentral:lncRNA from 1 species
AAAGAUUAAAGUCCUAUUCUAAAAGAAGACUCAACCGACUUAAAGCAGCAAUUGAAACUGCAAAUGACACGUAUGUUCUUUAUGCCCCCUCAAGAUAGGCCACGAGUAGAGAAGCCAAUCUUGUCUCUUAGCAGUAGGAACUGAGAACGUGGCAAAGGUUUGGUGAGGAGAUCAACAAGUUGGUCGGCAGAAGAAACAUGAGCCACACGAAGUAAACCAGAUUGAACCUGUUCACGGAUAAAAUGGUAAUCCACUGCUACAUGUUUCAUUCGAGAGUGAAACACAGGAUUGGAGCUUAACUGAGUAGCACCAAUGUUAUCACAAUAGACAACGGGAGAAGAUUGCAAAGUCACACCAAGUUCAGCAAGCAGUGAACAUACCCACCGAAGUUCAGCAGCAGUAGCAGCAACUGAACGAUAUUCCGCUUCUGUAGAAGAACGAGCAACAGUUUGUUGCUUCUUAGAACUCCAAGAAAUAAGAUUCCGCCCAAGAUAGACAAGGUAAGCACUAGUGGAAGAGUAAUCAUCUUUAUUGCCGGCCCAGUCAACAUCCGAGAACGCAUGAAGACCAUCAGAGAACCCAUGAAGAGAUAAAGGAGACUCACGAUGGAGAAGAAGACCUUUAUCCAAUGUGCCACAUAAAUACCGUAGAAUUCGUUUAACAAGUACCCAAUGCUCGUCAGUAGGUUGAUGCAUAAAUUGAGCCAUCUUAUUGACAGCAAAAGAGAUAUCAGGAGGAGUGAGAGAGAGGUAUUGCAGGCUCCCAACUACAGCACGAACUUGAGAAGGAUCUGAAAGAGGAGUGCCCGAGGUGAUGGUGAGUGAGGAAGAAUUUGUUGGCAAUGGGGUAAGUACAAGUGUAGCAUCUGCCAUAUGAGUUCUUUUAAGCAAGUCUUGGAUAUAUCUUCUCUGAGAGAGCAAUAUGCCUCGCCAAUGUGGAACAACCUCAAUGCCGAGAAAAUAAGAAAGAGAGCCAAGAUCUUUCAGGGAGAAGCGUUGAGCAAGGCAGCCAACAAAUUGAGAAACAAGGUCAUCAAUAUUACCAGUAACAAUGAUAUCAUCAACGUACACCAGUAAAAAUAAAAUAUGUCUGCCAGUGUUGAGAACAAAGAGAGAAGUAUCAGAGUGAGAAUUCGUGAAACCUGAAUGCACAAGAAAUUGGCGUAGUUCAUGAUACCAAGCCCGUGGAGCCUGUUUGAGACCAUAGAUAGCCUUAUGAAGUUUACAUACAUAUGUUGGACGAUCAGAAUCAACAAAUCCUGGUGGUUGAGCCAUAUAUACAUGUUCUGAGAGCCGGCCUUGAAGAAAGGUGUUGUUGAUGUCAAGUUGGCAAAGAGACCAGCCAUUGCUUAUUGCAAUACUAAGUACAAGUCUCACUGUGGUGGGUUUAACAACCGGGCUAAAAGUCUCAUGGUAAUCCACACCGGGUCGUUGAUGAAAUCCUUUGGCCACAAGGCGAGCUUUAAACCGG